rnacentral:tRNA from 1 species
GCGUCCGUAGCUCAGUAGGAUAGAGCAUCGGCCUUCUAAGCCGAGGGUCACAGGUUCGAGCCCUGUCGGACGUGCCA